rnacentral:rRNA from 1 species
UACGAAGGGGGCUAGCGUUGCUCGGAAUUACUGGGCGUAAAGCGCACGUAGGCGGCUUGUUAUGUCAGGGGUGAAAUCCUGGAGCUCAACUCCAGAACUGCCUUUGAUACUGGCGAGCUUGAGUUCGGGAGAGGUGAGUGGAACUGCGAGUGUAGAGGUGAAAUUCGUAGAUAUUCGCAAGAACACCAGUGGCGAAGGCGGCUCACUGGCUCGGUACUGACGCUGAGGUGCGAAAGCGUGGGGAGCAAACAGG